rnacentral:rRNA from 1 species
GUCCACGCCGUAAACGAUGAGUACUAAGUGUCGGGAAAACCCGGUGCUGCAGUUAACGCAUUAAGUACUCCGCCUGAGUAGUACGUGCGCAAGCAUAAAACUCAAAGGAAUUGGCGGGACCUCGCACAAGCGGUGGAUCAUGUUGUUUAAUUCGACGAUACGCGAAGAACCUUACCAGGCCUUGACAUACCGAGCAAAGCUAUAGAGAUAUAGCGGAGGUUAUCUGGGAUACAGGUGGUGCAUGGUUGUCGU